GAUGAACGCUGGCGGCGUGCCUAAUACAUGCAAGUCGAGCGAACAGACGAGGAGCUUGCUCCUCUGACGUUAGCGGCGGACGGGUGAGUAACACGUGGAUAACCUACCUAUAAGACUGGGAUAACUUCGGGAAACCGGAGCUAAUACCGGAUACUAUAUUGAACCGCAUGGUUCAAUAGUGAAAGACGGUUUUGCUGUCACUUAUAGAUGGAUCCGCGCCGCAUUAGCUAGUUGGUAAGGUAACGGCUUACCAAGGCGACGAUGCGUAGCCGACCUGAGAGGGUGAUCGGCCACACUGGAACUGAGACACGGUCCAGACUCCUACGGGAGGCAGCAGUAGGGAAUCUGCCGCAAUGGGCGAGAGCCUGACGGAGCAACGCCGCGUGAGUGAUGAAAAUCUUCGGAUCGUAAAACUCUGUUAUUAGGGAAGAACAAAUGUGUAAUUAACUAUUCACAUCUUGACGGUACCUAAUCAGAAAGCCACGGCUAACUACGUG
rnacentral:rRNA from 1 species